rnacentral:rRNA from 1 species
AUUGAACGCUGGCGGCAGGCCUAACACAUGCAAGUCGAGCGGAUGAAGGGAGCUUGCUCCUGGAUUCAGCGGCGGACGGGUGAGUAAUGCCUAGGAAUCUGCCUGGUAGUGGGGGAUAACGUCCGGAAACGGGCGCUAAUACCGCAUACGUCCUGAGGGAGAAAGUGGGGGAGCUUCGGACCUCACGCUAUCAGAUGAGCCUAGGUCGGAUUAGCUAGUUGGUGGGGUAAAGGCCUACCAAGGCGACGAUCCGUAACUGGUCUGAGAGGAUGAUCAGUCACAUGAGAACUGGAACACGGUCCAGACUCCUACGGGAGGCAGCAGUGGGGAAUAUUGGACAAUAGGCGAGAGCCUGAUCCAGCCAUGCCGCGUGUGUGAAGAAGGUCUUCGGAUUGUAAAGCACUUUAAGUUGGGGGGAAGGGCAGUAAGUUAAUACCUUGCUGUUUUGACGUUACCAACAGAAUAAGCACCGGCUAACUUCGUG